rnacentral:rRNA from 1 species
AGACCCGAAACCCGGUGAUCUAGCCAUGGGCAGGUUGAAGGUUGGGUAACACUAACUGGAGGACCGAACCGACUAAUGUUGAAAAAUUAGCGGAUGACCUGUGGCUGGGGGUGAAAGGCCAAUCAAACCGGGAGAUAGCUGGUUCUCCCCGAAAGCUAUUUAGGUAGCGCCUCGUGAAUUCAUCUCCGGGGGUAGAGCACUGUUUCGGCUAGGGGGCCAUCCCGGCUUACCAACCCGAUGCAAACUGCGAAUACCGGAGAAUGUUAUCACGGGAGACACACGGCGGGUGCUAACGUCCGUCGUGAAGAGGGAAACAACCCAGACCGCCAGCUAAGGUCCCAAAGUCAUGGUUAAGUGGGAAACGAUGUGGGAAGGCCCAGACAGCCAGGAUGUUGGCUUAGAAGCAGCCAUCAUUUAAAGAAAGCGUAAUAGCUCACUGGUCGAGUCGGCCUGCGCGGAAGAUGUAACGGGGCUAAACCAUGCACCGAAGCUGCGGCAGCGAACGUAUCACCCAAGACAACUUUACGGAGUUGACGAUUGACGGAGCGAAGCGACGUCAAAGCGUUCAUUAAAGUCGAGUUGGCUUAGGGAUACGUUCGUUGGGUAGGGGAGCGUUCUGUAAGCCUGUGAAGGUGUGUCGUGAGGCAUGCUGGAGGUAUCAGAAGUGCGAAUGCUGACAUAAGUAACGAUAAAGCGGGUGAAAAGCCCGCUCGCCGGAAGACCAAGGGUUCCUGUCCAACGUUAAUCGGGGCAGGGUGAGUCGACCCCUAAGGCGAGGCCGAAAGGCGUAGUCGAUGGGAAACGGGUUAAUAUUCCCGUACUUGGUGUUACUGCGAAGGGGGGACGGAGAAGGCUAUGUUGGCCGGGCGACGGUUGUCCCGGUUUAAGCGUGUAGGUGUGUGUUCCAGGUAAAUCCGGUUCACUUUAACACUGAGGCGUGACGACGAGGCACUACGGUGCUGAAGCAACAAAUGCCCUGCUUCCAGGAAAAGCCUCUAAGCAUCAGGUAACAUCAAAUCGUACCCCAAACCGACACAGGUGGUCAGGUAGAGAAUACCAAGGCGCUUGAGAGAACUCGGGUGAAGGAACUAGGCAAAAUGGUGCCGUAACUUCGGGAGAAGGCACGCUGACACGUAGGUGAAGUGAUUUACUCAUGGAGCUGAAGUCAGUCGAAGAUACCAGCUGGCUGCAACUGUUUAUUAAAAACACAGCACUGUGCAAACACGAAAGUGGACGUAUACGGUGUGACGCCUGCCCGGUGCCGGAAGGUUAAUUGAUGGGGUCAGCGCAAGCGAAGCUCCUGAUCGAAGCCCCGGUAAACGGCGGCCGUAACUAUAACGGUCCUAAGGUAGCGAAAUUCCUUGUCGGGUAAGUUCCGACCUGCACGAAUGGCGUAAUGAUGGCCAGGCUGUCUCCACCCGAGACUCAGUGAAAUUGAACUCGCUGUGAAGAUGCAGUGUACCCGCGGCAAGACGGAAAGACCCCGUGAACCUUUACUAUAGCUUGACACUGAACAUUGAGCCUUGAUGUGUAGGAUAGGUGGGAGGCUUUGAAGUGUGGACGCCAGUCUGCAUGGAGCCGACCUUGAAAUACCACCCUUUAAUGUUUGAUGUUCUAACGUGGGCCCGUUACCCGGGUUGCGGACAGUGUCUGGUGGGUAGUUUGACUGGGGCGGUCUCCUCCUAAAGAGUAACGGAGGAGCACGAAGGUUGGCUAAUCCUGGUCGGACAUCAGGAGGUUAGUGCAAUGGCAUAAGCCAGCUUGACUGCGAGCGUGACGGCGCGAGCAGGUGCGAAAGCAGGUCAUAGUGAUCCGGUGGUUCUGAAUGGAAGGGCCAUCGCUCAACGGAUAAAAGGUACUCCGGGGAUAACAGGCUGAUACCGCCCAAGAGUUCAUAUCGACGGCGGUGUUUGGCACCUCGAUGUCGGCUCAUCACAUCCUGGGGCUGAAGUAGGUCCCAAGGGUAUGGCUGUUCGCCAUUUAAAGUGGUACGCGAGCUGGGUUUAGAACGUCGUGAGACAGUUCGGUCCCUAUCUGCCGUGGGCGCUGGAGAACUGAGGGGGGCUGCUCCUAGUACGAGAGGACCGGAGUGGACGCAUCACUGGUGUUCGGGUUGUCAUGCCAAUGGCACUGCCCGGUAGCUAAAUGCGGAAGAGAUAAGUGCUGAAAGCAUCUAAGCACGAAACUUGCCCCGA